rnacentral:rRNA from 1 species
UGGGGAAUAUUGGACAAGGGGCGAAAGCCUAAUCCAGCCAUGCGCCGUGUGUGAGGAAGGUCUUCGGAUUGUAAAGCACUUUAAGUGGGGAGGAAGGGCAGUAAGCGAUUACCUUGCUGUUUUGACGUUACCGACAGAAUAAGCACAGGUUAAUUCUGUGCCACAAGCCGCGGUAAUACAGAGGGUCCAGGCGUUAAUCGGAAUUACUGGGCGUAAAGCGCGCGUAGGUGGUUCGUUAAGUUGAAUGUGAAAGCCCCGGGCUCAACCUGGGAACUGCAUCCAAAACUGGCGAGCUAGAGUAGGGCAGAGGGUGGUGGAAUUUCCUGUGUAGCGGUGAAAUGCGUAGAUAUAGGAAGGAACGCCAGUGGCGAAGGCGACCACCUGGGCUCAUACUGACACUGAGGUACGAAAGCAUGGGGAGCAAACAGG